AUGUUCUCUGUAGCUCUGCUGCUGCUGCUGGCUGCUGGAUCCUGUGUGAAGUGUGAACAGUUGACACAGCCAGCCUCUGUGACUGUGCAGCCAGGUCAACGUCUGACCAUCACCUGUCAGGUCUCUGGUUAUUCUUUGACUGAUGACAGCUAUGCAACAGGUUGGAUCAGACAGUGUGAAGGAAAACCAAUGGACUGGAUUUUGCACCGGUGGGGCGGAGGAGAAAUUUAUCAAAAUAAUGCUCUGAAGAACAAGUUUCUUUACUACACACACACUUCUACCAGCUCGGUGACUCUAACAGGACAGAAUCUGCAGCCUGAGGACACAUCUGUUUAUUACUGUGUACGUCGGCCCACAGUGAUACAAACCACCAACAGACCUGCACAAAUACCCAGAGACCCUGUGACUCAAGUUUAA